rnacentral:rRNA from 1 species
AUUGAACGCUGGCGGCAGGCCUAACACAUGCAAGUCGAACGGUAACAGGAAGCAGCUUGCUGCUUUGCUGACGAGUGGCGGACGGGUGAGUAAUGUCUGGGAAACUGCCUGAUGGAGGGGGAUAACUACUGGAAACGGUAGCUAAUACCGCAUAACGUCGCAAGACCAAAGAGGGGGACCUUAGGGCCUCUUUCCAUCGGAUUUGCCCAGAUGGGAUUAGCUAGUAGGUGGGGUAACGGCUCACCUAGGCGACGAUCCCUAGCUGGUCUGAGAGGAUGACCAGCCACACUGGAACUGAGACACGGUCCAGACUCCUACGGGAGGCAGCAGUGGGGAAUAUUGCACAAUGGGCGCAAGCCUGAUGCAGCCAUGCCGCGUGUAUGAAGAAGGCCUUCGGGUUGUAAAGUACUUUCAGCGGGGAGGAAGGGAGUAAAGAUAAUACCUUGGCUCAUUGACGUUACCCGAAGAAGAAGCACCGGCUAACUACGUG